UAAUUAUAAAUUGUUUACACGAAAUAUUUUAUGAAUAAUUUAAUAAAUUUUAAUAAAAUCACGUGACUCCAGCGAAGUCUACGAUUGGUCAGUGGAGAGCGCGGACAUUUCUGAGACGUUUUGAAAAUUUGCCGAGAUGAAAGCCUAAAAAAGAAAUCGGAGAAUUAUAGUUCGCAAAAUUCUUGUCCCCUGUAGUCAUUGUAAACUUGGGGGAAAUGCAUAAAGACUUUAACUCUGUCAAAUUGAAGGGAAUGGCAUGAAAGAAGGAAUUGCGUGGUACAUUCAAAUGGAGGAUCAAUUUUUAUAAGGAGUCCAGAUGAAAAUCGCAACUGUACAGAAAUGAGUAUUUACCCUGGUAAAAGGUCUAUUACUGUGCAGAAAAUUCUGUGGUGCCAAUUGGGUAAAAACUCUAUGAAAGUAAUGAAGAUUACAUGAAUUGCACAUGCAGCAAGUGAAUAAUGUGUGGCCAAAAAAAGGACAUGAAAUGGAGUAUACUUUCAAUACCUUUACGGUGUCUUUGUGUAUUUACAUUGCAUUAAUUAUGUUUUGUAUAUGCUGAAAAGGUGUGUUUAUUUUUUUCUUGCAAAGAAUGAUAUUACAAAUAUCAUUAUUUUGUUAAAGGUAACAAUAUUAAUUUUUUUUUAAAUAUAGGAGAUUUGUCAUAUAUAGAUUCCGUUUUUAGAGAGGAUUUAAAAUAGUUAUUUUUCAUAUAUAUUUUCAUGUAGCAUCAUAUAAUAAAUUUUUACUUGUUUUUACUUGAACCUGAUAAUAAUUGUUAAAUUCUUCCUUAAUAUAGUCCUGCCCCAUUCACAAGGAAUGAUAAGUAUGUAUUUUUCAUGUUAGGCCAAAAAUUUAAAAAUUUUUGUUGGAGAAAGAAAUUUUUAACUCCAGGGUUUUGUGGUUGAUUUGUCGACAAAAGCCCAUUUUUUGAUAUGCCUAAAAUGUACCUUUUUGUUUAGUUAUGCGGU